CACGUGGAAAAACAUUUUUCCAGAGGACUUUACUUACUAAUUCCCUGAGCAGCCAGAAAUCUGCUCUCCUCAUGUCCAGAGCUGAGGUUUUUCUGGCACUUUUUCUCCUGUCAACAGAGAUUUUAAACUCGAUUACUUCAUGGUUGCUGUGGCCAAGAUGGCCACCAACCUCCACUUUGCUCGCAAGAUCCACUCUGUUGAUAAGCAGUAGAUCAAGAAGGGCAUCCAGGUUUUUUAGGAAUUUUUUGGCCGAGGUUGAACUAGCUAUGUGAAACUCCCAUUUAAUUCCUGACAAGUUGAAGUCCCCCAUAAGGACUAGGGCAGUUGACUUGAAAGUGUCCUGUAGUUCCUCAAAGAUUAAUUCAUUGGCAUCAUUGUCCUGGCUGGGAGGUCUGUAGCAGACUCCCACGAUGACAUCCACAUUAUUAGUUUGCCCCUCGAUUCUUACCCAGAGGCUCUCAACUGUGACAUUUCCAACUGUGAGUUCCGUACAUUCUAGCCCUUCUAUUGCACACAGUGCCACCCCUUCGCCUUUUCUGCCCUGCCCAUCCCUCCUGAAGAGCCUGUAACCAUCCAACAAGGCACUCCAGUCAAAGGACUCAUCCCACCAGGUUUCACUUAUGCCAACAAUGUCAAAUCUCUGGGACUGGGCCAAAGCUUUGUGCUCCUCUUGUUUGUUCCUCAUGCUGCAUGCAUUGAUGAGAAACAUUUCAGACUAUACCUAGUCUCUCUUCUAAAACUCCACCUGGCUCUGUGGACUACUACCUCCUCCUCACACAUGUUCUGAGGAUUUUGAAGUGACUCCCUUUUUUUCAUAUUAUCCCCUUCAUAUGAAAGAUCAGAAGAAUUGAACUGCACCACAGCUGAGUAACAUCUUCAAAACUUCAAGUGAAAGAAACAAGAAUGUCUUUAACUCUAAUCUUGUAAGGAACUCACUAAAAACAAACUGCAAGGCCAAUAUUUUAUGAUACAGUGUGUCUUAGGAAAAAAGAUGAAGCAGCUUUGGUUUCCAGUGAAAUGGAAGAAUAGCAGCAGGUCUACAGGAAGAAUUCAAGAUGCUUGCCAUAAUCCAUCUACCACAUACAGCAAACCAGGAUUUUUUCCAGGUUUAUUCAGAGCUAAUGGAAGUCUGCAACAUACAGUGAAACGUUUGUCUUGAACACCCCAUGGUGAUUUUAAUGGAGGAACAGUUGUUCACAAAGAAUCUCAAAUAACACCACGAAGCAGCGUGUUGCCAGCCGUUUGGAUGGACUAUCCUAUGGAAUACCAUUGUGGGCCAAGGAACUACCCUUUUCUCCCCUUACUCAGCUCUCUGUGGAACAAGAUACAGGAAGAGGCUGAGAAAAAAAAACCCAGGGCCUAUCCACGACUUUACUUGUCUGCUACAAAAUGUGCAACCAGCUUCCUGGAUCUUGAGAUGUGCGGAAUGGAGUCCCCCAAGCUGUUUCAGGGAAGGGGACCUAAAGCCAGGACUAACACCUCACCUCACUCUGUACAUAGAGCCUCAAAUUUCCUUCCUCUGAGCUGCACCGCAAACAUGUCCAAAUGAAGUUAAACAAAUGUUUGAACCAAUACAGGAAAGGGAUUUUAGGCAGAAAAGAGAAAUAUAGAUGUACACCAUGUGCCA